GUGAGUGUAGCUCAGCUGGUUAGAGCGCCUGUCUGUGGAACAGGAGGUCGAGGGUUCAAACCCCUUCACUCACCCCA
rnacentral:tRNA from 1 species